GAGACCAAAAGGAAAGUUUGGAGGAGUGCUGCUGUGGGCUGAGAAAUCCCACACCUGGGAGGGUAAGGGGCACCUGGCUUGUGUAGAAGGAGGGCAAGAAGCCCCUUCACAAGCUGAAGGGCA